UCGGGAAUUUUGGGCAAUGGGCGAAAGCCUGACCCAGCAACGCCGCGUGAAGGAUGAAGUAUUUCGGUAUGUAAACUUCGAAAGAAUAGGAAGAAUAAAUGACGGUACUAUUUAUAAGCUCCGGCUAACUACGUGCCAGCAGCCGCGGUAAUACGUAGGGAGCAAGCGUUGUUCGGAUUUACUGGGCGUAAAGGGCGCGUAGGCGGCGUGGUAAGUCAUCUGUGAAAUCUCCGAGCUUAACUCGGAACGGUCAGAUGAUACUGCUGUGCUAGAGUACAGAAAGGGCAAUCGGAAUUCUUGGUGUAGCGGUGAAAUGCGUAGAUAUCAAGAGGAACACCUGAGGCGAAGGCGACUUGCUGGGCUUGUAGUGACGCUGAGACGCGAAAGCGUGGGGAGCAAACAGGAUUAGAUACCCCAGUAGUCCCUGAGCGGGCUGGCAAGGCGCAU
rnacentral:rRNA from 1 species